rnacentral:rRNA from 1 species
GACGAACGCUGGCGGCGUGCUUAACACAUGCCAGUCGAACGGAAAGGCCCCCAUCUUGGUGGGGGUGCUCGAGUGGCGAACGGGUGAGUAACACGUGGGUGAUCUGCCCUGUACUUCGGGAUAAGCUUGGGAAACUGGGUCUAAUACCGGAUAGGACCAUGGUUUAGUGUCUCAUGGUGGAAAGAUUAUUGUUUUGGUGCAGGAUGAGCUCGCGGCCUAUCAGCUUGUUGGUGGGGUAAUGGCCUACCAAGGCGUCGACGGGUAGCCGGCCUGAGAGGGUGGACGGCCACAUUGGGACUGAGAUACGGCCCAGACUCCUACGGGAGGCAGCAGUGGGGAAUAUUGCACAAUGGGCGCAAGCCUGAUGCAGCGACGCCGCGUGGGGGAUGACGGCCUUCGGGUUGUAAACUCCUUUCGUUAGGGACGAAGCCGCACUUUUUUUGGGUGUGGUGACGGUACCUUUGUUAAGAAGCACCGGCUAACUACGUG